rnacentral:rRNA from 1 species
UGAGGAAUAUUGGUCAAUGGGCGGAAGCCUGAACCAGCCAAGUAGCGUGCAGGACGACGGCCCUAUGGGUUGUAAACUGCUUUUAUGCGGGGAUAACCGGGGCCACGCGUGGCCCCCUGCAGGUACCGCAUGAAUAAGGACCGGCUAAUUCCGUGCCAGCAGCCGCGGUAAUACGGAAGGUCCGGGCGUUAUCCGGAUUCAUUGGGUUUAAAGGGAGCGUAGGCCGUGGAUUAAGCGUGUUGUGAAAUGUAGGCGCUCAACGUCUGACUUGCAGCGCGAACUGGUCCACUUGAGUGUGCGCGACGCAGGCGGAAUUCGUGGUGUAGCGGUGAAAUGCUUAGAUAUCACGAGGAACCCCGAUUGCGAAGGCAGCUUGCGGGAGCACCACUGACGCUGAGGCUCGAAGGUGCGGGUAUCGAACA